GUGUAAUUACAUAAAACAGAAGGUUACUUAAAAGGCAAAAACUAAAGUAGGUGGUAUAAAGCGAAUGUCUAAGAACCCAAAGGUAGGGUGACAUAAUUUAAAAUACUCAAAUGUGGGACAACAGGACAUUGAUUCAGUGUUGAUCUAACUUUACUUAACAAGCACAAUUGUAAGAAGUGAAGUGGCGUAGUGACGCUCUGUGCAGAACAUUUGGUGAUGCAGAAAGGAGAGACCACAUGUGUGGCAGCUUUAUGAAAAUCUGGGAAUAUUUGGCCAAGGAAACAUUUCUGGUUGGUCUCAGGAAAUGUUAAAACAGGGAGACUUUUAAAACAGGAUUGAAUGAAGUAGCAGCAAAUAUGUUGAGUAAGCAACUAAUGAGCACAGAGACCUCCCAAGUUUGAUGAAAUUACCUUAUAUCUUUCAGUCUAAUAUGGAUAUUUACCUGCUUUUGUAGCUCUUCAUCAGAACAAUACAUUUCAAUGCACUAAUCUGGUCUAUGUGCCAAUAUUUUAUAUAUUUUUUAAACACCAUUUUUGUAAGUAGUUAGGUCUACUGUCCUCUUCAAGUAUAGCUGGAACAAAGGUUAUGGAUAUACUGACAAGUUACAUGCCUCUCCGCCCUAACAAUGGGAGUCGUUGUCCACAAAGUGGCACAGUGGGCAGUCUAGUCGUCUAAACCUCACGUAGCAAAUAAGUCAUACAUUUUUUUUGUUCUCCAAAUUCAACACUCUCUCAUUGACUGCCAUUACAAAACUCCUUGCUUCAUGGAAAAAAAGAAAAAAAAACACCACCUGCUUAAGGGAAGCAUAUUUUCCGCCGAGUUGGGCAUCUCUCUUCCUCUUUGGCUGAAAUUGAGUACCACAGUAUGAGUCAUAAUACCCAUACAACCUAGCAUUUAAACAAGGAAAUGGUUCCAAUAGUUUUUCCACCUUUCAUUUUUCCAUGAGGGAUUUUAUAAUGACUUCAUAUAAGGUCUGUGUUUCGUGUAGGCUUACCCUGUCUUGACGUUUUGAUAACCACGUAAAUCUCUCUCGGACAAGGUAACUUUUAUCAAUAUAUUUGCCUGUAAUUACCCCCCAAAAAUGAAAUGCUAAUUAGCCUCUAAUGUGGCUAUCAUUCAGAACUACAGAUCCUGUCACAAGCUUUGAAUUCAUUACUCAAGGCAGUGUUGCAGGGAGGGAAAAACCUCACCAUUUCUCCACGCUAAAUCUCAGGAACAAGUAGCAAGGAACCUUCAAGUAAAGUAUAACAUAAUAACUGAUAGAUAUUAUAGUCUUUUUGUAGUUUCUCGUUUAAAUAAUUUAUAUUGUGUAUUUAUCAUGUGCACUGCUGUUUAGCAUAUUUAAAAAACCUACCUUAGCACGUUUUAUUACUAGAAUUGUUUAAAUUACCCUGGCCUUUGUAGCUAACUAGCUAACCUUAGGUCUCUCUGUCGAUCAGAAGCAAGGGUGGUUCUGUGCUAUGUAACCACUACUCCAGAUUGUAACCACUACUCCGAUAAGCAUGCAUGUGUAUUUGAUCAUUUUCCGACCUCUGUAAGAGAGAGGCAUCGCUGGAGCCGUGUGAUAAGACUGGCGGACUGGAAACCCAGUGACAACACUUGGGUCUGCAGCUGCCAUUUUCAGUUGGGAAAGAGAAAUGGCCCUGUAUUUUGCAGAAAAAGUAGCUCAUCCACCAUGCCAGAAGAGAAACAUCCAGACACAUCCACCAUGGCAGACAAUGAAGUUCCAGGCCCCUCGGCCACCGAAGAAUGUUGGAGACUGCUGUCUGCACAGUUGCAGAAUGUUCUCACUGAGGUACAUCUUGAGGAAACAUUAGCACAGUUGAAGGUUCUACACGAGAAUCAGCUGUAUACCUGCAACUGGUAUUCAGCAUCACAUUUGUCUGAUAAAAUACUUAGGGUGGAAACAGUACUUCCAGACAAAGGCAUGUUCAACAUCGUUGUUGAAUACUUUGAACGUUGCAAGGACUGCGUUGUCUGCUUUGCCAAGUGGAGUGUUAAGGUGCUGUCAUUUGAGGAUCAAGUGUUUAUGGCGCUUAUGAAGUUGUGUCACAGCUACACCAACUUGCACCUGGCUCAAUUAUUCCGUUGUAGUGCAAGCACUGUCAGCAAUGUUACCAACACUUUAAUUCAAUUGAUUCACGUAAUCCAGCUUUUUUUCUUUAUCACCAUGAAGACUGUUCGGGAGAAGAACCAAACCUGCUUGCCUGCGUCUUUUCAGGGGUCCAGCAGAAACUGCAGAUGGUCAUUGACUGUACUGACAUAAAAUAUAACCUGUUCUGGGAGGAGCCUAGUGUGUGUGUGUCUGAACAAUGUGGAAUAUUUUUGGACCUUUGGAUUGGAAUAAAUCCUCAUGGUAAGACAAAAAUGUAUUUGUGUGCAAAAACUAUUUACAAGAUAUUUACAAAUGUUCACUGUUGCAGUGCCAACUUUGGAUGCAUGUGGUCCUCGAAAAACUCCUCUAGUCCAGCAAUAUUAGUCUGCCAGAGGUCGUCACGCUGGAUGGGGAUGGUGAUGGAAGCUUUGGUGGUCCACAAAACGAAGAAGCAAGUGUCCCUUCCAGUGAUGUGGAACUUCCCUUCGACCUGGUGCCAGUAAGGAUGGUCUCCAUGUAGGCAGUAAGACCCUCCCUCCUCCUGGAUAUAGAAAUCCUUCGACUUCACUGCCUUUUCAAUGGUAAGGUCCCUUGCACCAUAGGGACACUUGACCUCCACCACUGCUGUGGUGCCCACCAAACCAUCCGGUGAGACACCCAGGAUCCCAGACCCUGUGACCAAAAACCCUGACUCCUGCACAUUCAUCCCUGUAGCCAUUUUGAAUGCCUUGAUGCCCUCUUCAUUAUCUGUACCCCACUUUACAGACAACACCCCAUCCAAUGACUGUGAUCUGAGGACCCUUUUUUAGCAGAGAUGGAGUAACUGGCAGCCAACCUCCCUCUCCUUAUGGUGUACCAGUUUGGUUUGGUGUGCUGUCCUACAGUUGCCUGCCGUAGAGCCUCCUACAGCUCCACCGACAGUGCCAUGCCAGCCAGGAUGCCUGCAUGCCCCAGGUGGCCUUUUUUUAAACAAUGUCCAGUACAGACAAAGGUGACAGGGAGGGUAGCGGUUGUUCUGGCUCAGGUUCAAAGAGACAUGCCAUUCCACUAAACCUGCCCCGGAAACGGUUCCUUAGCUUGUACUUUUCGUCCGGCUGCAGGUCCUCAACUGACUGCACCUGGUUGGGCACGGCUGGCUUCCUCCACUCGCAUUCCACAUCCGUACAGCCGAUAUUGUGAACUGCAAAAAUAGCCAAUGCCGCUGUAUAGCUACACUUAUGAGCUCCACGGGGGCAUUUGCAUGUGGUAGAGGCAAUCCCCUGGUCACCUAUAGAGACCUGCCAAGAGGAAGGAGGUUAAGUGCCAGAUGCCUUUCAAUACAUGACUUUGAACACCUCGAAAUACAUUUGUUGUAAGAAAUGUGCUAUAUAAAUAAAGUUUCAUUUGAUUGAUGACAUUACAGCUGUAGAAUAUUUCAUUAACUGUAAUUUUCACAUGAGGACAAGUUUUUCCAUAAACUUUUAAUUGAUAACUUGGGAUUUUAUCACUUGACAUAUCAUUCAUACAGUGGGAAGGAUCCUAUAAAUCAAGACAGUGUGAAUGCAUGUACCACUCUGAAUAAAUAGAUACUGUGCCUUUGAA